rnacentral:rRNA from 1 species
AGUCACUGACAUUAGAUACCCCCGUAGUCCCAGGGUGUAAACGCUGCAGACUUGGUGUUGGAAAGUCCUUUGGGGGCAUUCAGUGCCGGAGAGAAGUUGUUAAGUCUGCUACUUGGGGAGUACGUCCGCAAGGAUGAAACUUAAAGGAAUUGGCGGGGGAGCACCGCAACGGGUAGGAGCGUGCGGUUUAAUUGGAUUCAAACACCGUAAAAACUCACCAGGGAAGACUGUUACAUGAAAGCCGAGAUGAAGACUCUGCUAGAUUUUCAG